rnacentral:rRNA from 1 species
AUUUUCCCAUAUAGCGGAGGAAAAGGAAACCAACAGGGAUUGCCCUAGUAACGGCGAGUGAAGCGGCAACAGCUCAAAUUUGAAAGCUGGCUCCGGCCCGCAUUGUAAUUUGCAGAGGAUGCUUUUGGCGAGGUGCCUUCCGAGUUCCCUGGAACGGGACGCCAUAGAGGGUGAGAGCCCCGUAUGGAUGGACACCAAACCUGUGUAAAGCUCCUUCAACGAGUCGAGUAGUUUGGGAAUGCUGCUCUAAAUGGGAGGUAAAUCUCUUCUAAAGCUAAAUACCGGCCAGAGACCGAUAGCGCACAAGUAGAGUGAUCGAAAGAUGAAAAGCACCUUGAAAAGGGGGUUAAACAGUACGUGAAAUUGUUGAAAGGGAAGCAUUUAUGACCAGACUUGCGCCGGGCAGCUCAUCAGGGGUUCUCCCCUGUGCACUCUGCCCGGCUCAGGCCAGCAUCGGUUCUCGUGGGAGGAUAAGAACAGUGGGAACGUGGCCCCCCUCCGGGGGGGUGUUAUAGCCCAUUGUACGAUACUCUCGUGGGGACCGAGGUUCGCGCUCCGCAAGGAUGCUGGCGUAAUGGUCAUCAAUGACCCGUCUU